UUCCAUACAUCUGUGCCUGCCACUGUCAGAUACACUCAGAUUUUUCUACUGCCUCUGGGUGAUGGUCAUCCUAGGAGCACAGUGAUACAGAGAAGCACACAUUUAAAAGAGUCCGGUUCCUCAGUGAAAGUAGAUCAAGAAGGUCUUUAAGUUUAGAAUAUCACAGGAGUGCUAUAGAAUUGUAUGGCUGUGCACUAGCUACAAAUACAAUUUAAUUUAUUAUUCCUAAACAAUUCUCUCUGUCCCUUCUUCCUCUCUCUUCACAGAUACAAUGCUUUUUUCAGACAGAAAUUUGUAAGGAGAAGACUGAUUACACUACCUCUUGUUGAGCCAAAAGUCUGGAACUGUUGAGGGCUGCAGCAGCUAUACUCCAGCUUAAUAAACUGAGUCCAACCUACAGUCUACCUGCAAAGUGACACCAUCAGCCCUGCUAAAUGGGAACACAUCUUUAUAAGUGUCAUGAAGAAGAUACACAAAACCAAGAAAAUCUUAUCAGUGAGGAGUGGAUGGAUGAAAACCCCUGCUGAAUACUGUAUCCAGGCAUAAAGAUC
rnacentral:lncRNA from 1 species